rnacentral:lncRNA from 1 species
CAAAACUAUAAGAAGCCAAAGUAUGAGGGCACCAGAGCAUCCCACCAUGUCAGCUGGUUCCAUGUCUGCUGUUUCACAACUACCUGUAACUCCAGCCUCAAGGGAUCUGAUGCUCUCUUCUGACCUCUGACCUCCUCAAGCAUCCACACAGCGUGGCAUACAGAUCCAUGGACCUACCCAAAGAGAUAAGCAAAUAAAAAUAAGUUCAGUUUCUCUUAUUAUACUCUAUUUCCUUCUGGUGCCAGGGAAUGGAAGUCAGAGCCUUAUGCUUGCCAGGCCAGUUCUCUCUGGCUGACUAGACCCCAG